rnacentral:rRNA from 1 species
GACGAACGCUGGCGGCGUGCCUAAUACAUGCAAGUAGAACGCUGAAGGAGGAGCUUGCUCUUCUGGAUGAGUUGCGAACGGGUGAGUAACGCGUAGGUAACCUGCCUGGUAGCGGGGGAUAACUAUUGGAAACGAUAGCUAAUACCGCAUAACAGUAGAUGUUGCAUGACAUUUACUUAAAAGGUGCAAUUGCAUCACUACCAGAUGGACCUGCGUUGUAUUAGCUAGUUGGUGGGGUAACGGCUCACCAAGGCGACGAUACAUAGCCGACCUGAGAGGGUGAUCGGCCACACUGAGACUGAGACACGGCCCAGACUCCUACGGGAGGCAGCAGUAGGGAAUCUUCGGCAAUGGACGGAAGUCUGACCGAGCAACGCCGCGGGAGUGAAGAAGGUUUUCGGAUCGUAAAGCUCUGUUGUAAGAGAAGAACGAGUGUGAGAGUGGAAAGUUCACACUGUGACGGUAUCUUACCAGAAAGGGACGGCUAACUACGUG